rnacentral:rRNA from 1 species
GAUGAACGCUGGCGGCGUGCCUAAUACAUGCAAGUCGAGCGAACAGACGAGGAGCUUGCUCCUCUGACGUUAGCGGCGGACGGGUGAGUAACACGUGGAUAACCUACCUAUAAGACUUGGAUAACUUCGGGAAACCGGAGCUAAUACCGGAUAAUAUAUUGAACCGCAUGGUUCAAUAGUGAAAGACGGUUUUGCUGUCACUUAUAGAUGGCUCCGCGCCGCAUUAGCUAGUUGGUAAGGUAACGGCUUACCAAGGCGACGAUGCGUAGCCGACCUGAGAGGGUGGUCGGCCACACUGGAACUGAGACACGGUCCAGACUCCUACGGGAGGCAGCAGUAGGGAAUCUUCCGCAAUGGGCGAAAGCCUGACGGAGCAACGCCGCGUGAGUGAUGAAGGUCUUCGGAUCGUAAAACUCUGUUAUUAGGGAAGAAGAAAUGUGUAAGUAACUAUGCACGUCUUGACGGUACCUAAUCAGAAAGCCACGGCUAACUACGUG